AAUAAGUUAUUUACAAAAAUUAAAAAAGAAAGAAUGAUAGGGAAUUUUUAUUUAAAAAUGGAUUUAAUAACUUGGUUUUAAAAAGAGAAGUUUUGAAUUAUUACGGUAAAAAAAAAUUAAUUAAACCCUAAAUUUAAUCUAAAAUUAUAGCUUAGAAUAGAGUUAUCCCUUUAGAAUUUUCUUUUAUAUCAAACUUAAAAUUGACAAUUAAUUAGUAAAAUAAUAUUAACUAAAUUGAAAAAUAAAUAAAUAAAAAAACUAGUAAAU
rnacentral:lncRNA from 1 species